rnacentral:rRNA from 1 species
CAGCCGCCGCGGUAACACCAGCCCCUCGAGUGGUGGGGACUAUUAUUUGGCCUAAAGCGUCCGUAGCCGGCUGCAGCCGUCACCCGUUAAAUCCAGCGUCUCAAGCGUUGGACUGCGGGUGAUACCCUGCAGCUUGAGGGUGGGACAGGUUAGCGGUAUUCCCGGGGUAGGGGCGAAAUCCUUUGAUCCCAGGAGGACCACCAGUGGCGAAGGCUGCUCACUAGAACACGCCUGACGGUCAGGGACGAAAGCUGGGGCAGCGAACCGGAUUAGAUACCCGGGUAGUCCCAGCUGUAAACGAUGCUAGCUAGGUGUUGGGUCGGCCACGCGCCGCCCCAGUGCCGCAGGGAAGCCGUUAAGCUAGCCGCCUGGGGAGUACGGCCGCAAGGCUGAAACUUAAAGGAAUUGGCGGGGGAGCAC